GUCCUUGACUCUGGACUUCCCUUCACUAACAUAGAUAGUUAAGAUUUGGUUAUUUUAUUCCCACUGAAUCCCAUUCUCUUUGGGUGUGGAAGGCAAAUGUAUAUCCAAUGUCUUUCGUCUCCCUGGAGUCCAUGGGUAAGGUGUAGGCCCAUCUACCUCAUGCCUCAUGGACCCUCCUGUGAGCUGAGGACUGUGGUAAUCACAGUAAAUGGUUUAACAAUGUUGCUUUGGCGGUACGGGAAAUUUUGUUUGUAAAAUAAUUUCUGAAUAGUUGAUUCAUGUGCAUGGUACACAGUUCAAAGGCACAGAGGAGUGUCAUGCAUAGAGAUAAAGAGGUCAUUCAUUCUCUUACUCAUGGCCCCAGCUAUCUGUGAGCUCAUUAUCCUCAUAGCAACUGUGGGUACUGUUUCUCAAAGGAGAACCCACCUCCCCGGUGCAUGUACCCAGGCCUCAGGCCAACACACCACACGGGCCUUCCAGGGAUCUCCAGUAUUUUGGAGAAGCUGCAUAGAGCUCCUAGAUAGAGGUGUACCACAUCUGCUCUGGUCCUGCUGGGAGGCAGCAGCUCACUAGCUGACUAGAUCUGCCUGUCCAGACUGAGCUGGUUCUGUCAGCUUCACCUACGGAGUGGGGAGGCUGAGCCGACUCUGCUCUUCUCAGACUACUAGCGAAGCAGAUGAGGCCCGACUCAAACAAUUGUUUAUAAAGUGGGCAAAAUCGGGCUUUAGCAGUCGGCCCUCCAGCCACCACAGCUCUCCUUUUCUCCUGGAGGUAAAGCUGCCAGACUUCUCCUGGAGCAGCACAGACAGCAGUUACGGUGAAGGUUCCAGAAUUCAAGGGCCUUCGUUUGAAAUGGAGCUUCGCCGCCAUUGAGUUCAUUUCCUGGGAACCUUACUGUGUCCCAUGACAGAAGCCCACAUGGUGAUGCCUUACAAAUUAAGAACUCACCUUUCUUCAGUUCUGCAUGAAGAGGAGAUGGUCCAGAGGAUGUGGCAAUGAUACAGAUACAACCAGAGAAGAAGUUGGUGUUCUUUUCUAAACCAUGGUAAAAAUAACAGGACAUCAUGUAGGAUGAGCGAGUACCAGAAGUUUAGAGGGUGAUGUCCAAGAAAUAAAAGAAUGCUCCAGGAGUCUGAGAUGAAUUCUCCACAGAUCCUUACCCGUCUGGAAGAUUAUGUAUGCCUGGGGGAGUCUCAAAAGAACCGAGGAAACGUAAACAUGAAGGAGGAUUGAGAAAAGGCUGCAAUGUUCUCUGUCCCUCAUACAGACCUAGAGGAAAAUUAUGGCAACCUGGCUGGUCCUGGGCCAGUGCUGUUCCCUUGGCUCUAUACAUCUAAGGCAUCGAAGACUCCCAAGGAUACGGAGUGACUCUGGGUAUCAGCUUAGCACAUGUUAUUUUAGGUGUUUCAACAGUGACACCAUUGAGGUAGUGUGGCUUAGUGAAGGAAUGUGGGCUUGGACGGGAUAGAAUGGGGUUGUCAUUCCACAGUUAUAAGUUAAUAUUCUUAUUAACUUGGGCAAUCAUGUGACUACUCAGUAUCCUAUUUAAAUCUUAUAAAUGCCCACUGAAGUAGGCAUGGACUACUUCUGUGUUGUGGAUACUUUUUAAGUCUGCGGAAUAGUUAUUUUGGGUGAUGAUUAAAAAGUCAUAAUGGCUAUAAAGUAUGUGUCACAUGAUAGGUGACCUAUAAAUAGCUGUAUUGUUGCUGUUAGUCCUGGUGUAGAAAAGAACUGUCAGACCGAUAAGCCCAGAGAAUUUAACCUCUCAGAGAGUCACACGGAAAAACACUGGAUAUUAAUAGUAUAGGUGAAGCAACUACACUGUCUGUAAGUGUCCAACCUUGGCUUUAACAAAUGACUAUAAAGUUUAUGGCUUAAGACAAUGUA
rnacentral:lncRNA from 1 species